AGUUCUAGACAGAAAAACAGGCCAAACAAAAUGCUGAUUAAAGGGACUAUAAGGAAGUUUGACAGCCAAAACGUAUAUAAAUAAUAAAUGUCUUCUUCAUACAUUCUUCUGCAAUGCCCUGGUCCUGUAGAAUGAGCCCUGGCAUUUUUACUGUGACUGCCUGUUUUUCUGUAAAAAUCAGAGAAAAAGAGUUGCUCGGGUCGAGCAGGCUGCUUCAUGCGUGUUUAUGCUCAGGCAUAGCCCGUAGCGUUUGCUAUCCGUAGCUUUAGCAGCAGAGAGAGAGGUGGUGCCAACUCAGUGACUUUGUCGCUGUUCCUAACGCCUAGAGACAAACCUAGCUACAUUUCUGAGGACCCUUAACUACUUUCUGUAGAAAUUUCUUCUAGAAAUUUCCUGCAAAUUAGCAACAAAAUAGCCAUUUUCGCUCCGAACCGUUCUUUGGAUUGAUGUUGUUUCAGCUGUCAUCAAAGAUUUAAACGUUAUAGAUAGAAUCAAUUAGAGCUGAAACAUCUAAUCGAUUUAAUCGAUUAUAAUCGAUUAUUAAAAUAGUUAACAAUUUUUUUAGUCAUCGAGUAGUUGUUUAAUAAUCAUAUUUUACCGCAUAAAGUCUAUUUUUACCACAAUCUGACAUCGGUUACAAGCUGUUAAAUUUGCCGCCAGUGUGUGGCAGUAAUGAGCCACUGAUCUACCAGUGGAGCCGUAGAAGAAGAAAUGAGCCAAUGAGUGCCCUCGGUUUUCAUGACGUAUCACGUUACUGACGCUCAUCUUGCUGUGAGAGAUGGCGGAACAAGAGGAAAUACGGAAGAAAAAUAGAAGCGACAAAACUGAAGAGAAACCCCGGACAAAAACCUCACGAGUAUGGGAGCACUUUACUCUAGAUGCCUUGAAAAGACGGGUGACCUGCAAAAUAUGCAAAAAACAUCUAGCAUGGCACGGAAGCACGACGUCCCUAAGUGAACAUUUGAGACGAAAACAUGUGGGGGCUGAUGCAGCAGAGGAAGAGCACCGCGGUCAAGUGAGCCGUCAUUUGGAAGAGCCAGCCCGAAAAAAAACAAGCAACGAUGGACAACUACAUGGGGAACAAGACACUCACCCCCCAGCAAUUCAUACCACUUACAAACUCUAUUCUAAACAUGCUGGUAAAAGACAUGAGGCCACUAUCCAUGGUGGAAGGAGCAGGCUUCCAGCUAAUGCUAAAAAAUUAUUCUGGACUGAUAUUUUGCACUGUUUAGCUCAUUUUAUACUGCUGACUGUGUUCAUGUGCAAUAAAAUAGAUUGCAGUCAACU